AUGGCCCUGCCAAUUCACUUUCUGACGGUUCUGCCGUUGCCAGCGUGGGCACCGAAGAUCAUCAAUAGGAGAUGUCGGGGUUUUAUUUGGAAAGGCGAUAGCGAUAUAGGUGGUGGACACUGCCUGCUACCUUGGGCUAGGGUAUGCAUGCCCAAGGUGUGUGGUGGUUUGGGUGUGCUGAACCUCAAAUGGUUCGGUUAUGCUCUCCGCUGCCGGUGUCCAUGUUUGAGAUGGGAGGCCGAGGAAAGGCCAUGGCAUCAGCUACCAGAGGCUCAAGAAAAGGAGGUCUCAUCCCUCUUUAAAGUGGCCACUUCAAUCUGUCUAGGGGAUGGACAGAGGGCCAAAUUUUGGACUGACAAGUGGGAGGCACUCCACAAUCGUAACUGGAUUAAGGGUAUCACAGGUGGGAUUUCGGUCCAGGCCAUGGCUCAAUACCUCAAAGUUUGGGACAUAAUUCAAGGCGUCUCUUUAUCUGUUGGUGUUCCAGAUAGCCUACUCUGGAAGUGGACUGCGGACAACAAGUUCUUGGUCAGCAGUGCAUAUAGCGUGUUCUUUGUUGCUAAUGUUCAUUUUUCUUGCCACAAGCCGAUUUGGAGAUCCAAGGCUCCUCCGAGAUGCAAAUUCUUUAUGUGGCUUGCCGUACAUCGAAGGUGCUUAACGGCUGAUAACCUGGAGCGUAGGGGUUGGCCUUCUAAUGGAAACUGCCCGCUGUGCCUCUUGACUCAUGAAGACCAUACACACCUUUUUGUGCAUUGCGCCUACACACAGCAGGUUUGGAUGAAAUUCAGGGAAUGGACGCACACUGAUUUUCGAACUCCGAAUGAUAGUUUCAUCAGUACUGAAGACUGGUGGCUGACUGCAACAAAGGAGGUUCCCAAGAACGAUCGGCGCAAUUUUGACACCAUUACCAUACUGCUGCACUGGAGGAUUUGGAAGGAACGGAAUGCCAGGAUUUUUGAGCAUAUGGCGUGUAGCAUUGACAGGUUGCUGGAUCUAAUCAGAGAUGAUAUUAGGGCCUGGAGAGCUGCUGGCUAUGUUAGCGAUCUCUUUUAG
rnacentral:rRNA from 1 species